rnacentral:rRNA from 1 species
AUUGAACGCUGGCGGCAUGCCUAACACAUGCAAGUCGAGCGAGCGGCGGACGGGAGAGUAAUGUAUGGGGCUCUGCCCGGUGGAGGGGGACGACUACUGGUAACUGUGGCUAAUACCGCAUAAUCUCGCAUGAACCCAUAUGGGAUUAGCUAGUGGGUGGGGUAAAGGCUCACCUAGGUGACGAUCUCUAGCUGGGCUGCGAGGAGGAACAGCCAAACUGGGACUGAGACACGGCCCAGACUCCUACGGGAGGCAGCAGUGGGGAAUAUUGCACAAUGGGCGAAAGCCUGAUGCAGCCAUGCCGCGUGUGUGAAGAAGGCCUUAGGGUUGUAAAGUACUUUCAGCGGGAAGGCGUUACCUGCAGAAUAAGCACCGGCUAACUACGUGCCAGCAGCCGCGGUAAUAC